rnacentral:rRNA from 1 species
CCUACGGGAGGCAGCAGUGAGGAAUAUUGGUCAAUGGGCGCGAGCCUGAACCAGCCAAGUCGCGUGAGGGAAGACGGUCCUAUGGAUUGUAAACCUCUUUUGUCGGGGAGCAAAAGACGCCACGCGUGGCGUUCCGAGAGUACCCGAAGAAAAAGCAUCGGCUAACCCCGUGCCAGCAGCCGCGGUAAGACGGAGGAUGCGAGCGUUAUCCUGAUUUAUUGGGUUUAACGUGUGCGCAGGCGGAAGAUCAAGUCAGCGGUAAAAUUGAGAGUCUCAACCGCUUCGAGCCGUUGAAACUGGUAUUCUUGAGUGAGUGAGAAGUAUGCGGAAGGCGUGGUGUAGCGGUGAAAUGCAUAGAUAUCACGCAGAACUCCGAUUGCGAAGGCAGCAUACCGGCGCUCAACUGACGCUCAUGCACGAAAGUGUGGGUAUCGAACAGGAUUAGAUACCCGGGUAGUC